CGUCCCAUUCAUUCUCUAAACACGGAAUGGAACGAUCCGUUUAUUUGAACUGAAAUAUCUUUCUUAGAAGACGCCGUUCCACCACUUGGUAUGGAAGCAAAGGGAUCUAAAAUUAAAACACUACGUCCGUAUCGGCAAGAACGCAUUUUAUGAUGGUUUCCAAUGGCACAAUAACAAUUAGAAGGUAUAAGAAAGAAGGUAUAGUGGCCGACAAAGGGCUAUAGAUCGCCAAGCGGUUUUGCAACCGACUUCUAAGAAUAUCGAGCACACCACGUGCGUUCCUUCCUUCCCUCAUCGAAAUCUUCCGCUUCGAUUACUUUCUGUUUUCUCCGGCGUUGUAAAAGGUCUUCGAACGUCUUACACAACUUUUAUCAUUGUUUAGAUUAGAUUUUAUGUAAUCUGAGAGCUCAGAAGUGCUGGACGUGAUCUUUCGCGUGAAAUUCUUUGUUUGUUUUCAACGAAUAAAAGUCCAUCGUAGCCGUUGCCAAAACGGAAAGCAUGUCUCGGCAAGUGCCCGACCUUGUCACGCUUCUUCUUUUCUAAUAAUGUACUCUCGAAUACAGACCGCAAGCCGUCUCCAUUGAGUAGUGCUCUUUGCUAUUUAUAAAAGGCACAAACCACGCAGUUUAGUGUUUACUGUUUGCAUUCUGCCAGUGGUGUAACAAGUGCAACCGACGCCAUUCGUCUAUAUGUAUUGUACAUGUAACAAUCUGGUAGGCAGGCUAAGGAGUAUAAGUGAGAUCUUCGACACGAUAAAUGCGCUAAUAUUCUCUACACUGCAGUCUUUUCCUUAUGAUUUUAACAGUGCAAAUCAAUUUUAUUUCUUCCCUGCCUUUUACCUAAGAUUCUAAUAGUAUAUCCAAAUUCUGACAUCUGAUCUUACAUUGCACUUUAAAAUGUUUUAUGUAGAAUAUUAAAAUAUUAUAAAAUAUUUUAAAGAAUAUUCUUCUUCUAGUAGUAAUAUUAUAGAAUAUUAUGAUCCAUUUUGUUCUAUUGGAAUAAUAAAAUUUAAUAAAAUAAUAUAAACAAAGAAUGUUGUGCAUUUAUUAUUUUCUUAGAAAACGAAAGAAACCUUUGGGACAACCUGAUACAAUAUUUACUAUAAACUACGAAUUCUUAUGUAUUUAUAAUAUUUAGUAAGUACACCACCCUUACUUGUUUUUAUAAAAAUACGAAUUUGCAGAAAUAUAAUAUAAUUCUUCUUACUUAUACCCUCCCCCAGAAAGUAGUCAAAAUAUAGGUUAGGAAUCUUCGAAUUGAAUUAGAAAGGAAACAGGUGGCUCCCUAAAAUAGAAAUCAUGUUAGAGGAAUAGUUACAGAUUCAAUUUGAAUGGAUUUAGCAAAACGCGAGAAGAUUAAAGGAAAGAGGAAACAAGACUUAUCGUUGUCCAAGGUUUUGAAGAGGCACCGCUACCUACUUGCGAUAUCAGGUUCCACGACUGUUUAUCUGUUCUCUACAAACCAGGAAAAAAGAUACACUUGAGCUAACCAACAUGUAAGGUAAAUACAGAAUAGAAGUUAUGAAAUUCUUCCUAAUUCUUUUCAAUUAAGUCCUAUGGUUGACAAAAUUCUUUUAAAUUUGUUCAGAAGUAUUUCCAAAGACACCUGUUUAAGUAUAGGGUUGUCCAAAAGUUCGUUAAUUUCUAUUAUAGAUUUUUAUCAAAUAAUAAAACAUUCAAAUAUACGAAUACUAUCCUUAGAGAAUCAAACUGAAUAUUUGUUAAUAAAAUAAGUCUCUUUUCUUCAAUGAGAUGAACACUUAACCUCGUACAUCCAGGAAAUUUUGAGUCAUGGAAUGUUCACUUCCAUUUCUAUUUAUCUCGAGUUACUGAACAUAGCGCAAUUUCAACGUUAUUUGUUCUAGUCUUUAUAAAACUUAUUCAGAAGACACAAACAAGAAAUGAAAUACUUUAGAAGCUUGUAAAAGCUAUUUGAAAGAAUUAAUUUUCGAUAAAAGAUGAGAAAUUUUUGUAGGAGAGACUGACGAAGUUACAGAUGGCAAAAAUUCAAAUUCUCGAUGGAUCUUUCCUAAAUUUCGCUAAGAAUUUUCUUAAUAUAAUAUGCUUAGCACGUUUUAAGUUACCAAAAUAGCAUCUACAAGUAUCUUGCAAUUGCCUAGGAAGGAAAGCUUGCCAUGUAUGCACAGCCUCGAAUAAAAAUCGAUAGAAAGAGACCCAUUCCGCCUCUUGUUUUCGAACUGACUUUAUAAAUAAACAACGAGAAGCACAUUGUGGCGGGUAUCGUUGAUGGACAACAUGUUUAUAGCCGUUGGAACAGAGGGAACUUGAUGAAUCGAACAGUUGUUGAGAAGAACGGGAGAUUGGUCGUUAAAUGUAGCGAAGAACGCAAUCAUUAUCGGAAUUUAUCUGGAAGUUGAAGGGGUGUGCAUGCUGAGAUGUUUCUCCCGAGAGUCCAGACUCGAAUGGGGGGCGUCACCGAUAACAUGUUUUGGAAUUCGAAAUGGAACUGUCCGAAGGACAAUGAUUAUUAUCCAAGGAGGAAAAGGAGCGUGCGAAGAGACACAGGAAAUAUCGAUGGUAGGUAUCUUCGAGACUGUUGGUCGUACAAUGCCCGCGAGCAAAUUACACUUUGCAGAUAAAUUAUACGACUUGACGUGUCUUCGAAUAGAUUAUCAUAGGCACUUUCCAUUGCUGCACGUUUACGUGUCGAAUUAAGAGAAUUACGUAAACUGUCUUUACCAUAAUGAAUGAUUUUAUCCCGAGUGAAUGAACAGCAAUUUAUCGGAAAAUUCGUUUUUAAGGAUAAAAGUAAUCUUAAAUUAAAUUUCCUAUAAACGUAUAAAAAUCCCCAGUUUAGUGACAAGCAAGAAGCCCCACGAAUGGUGCGAAUCACCUUAAUUUCUCGUUUCUCAAUUUCUGAAUGACGGUAUGAUUAACGACGAGCACGAUAGCGACCACGGGGAUCUCCGUAAAUAUCUAUUCAUCACGUUGAAAUUACGAAAAAGCAGGCUGAGCCGUUGAUAAUCGACUUUUCUUGAGGGAAGGCGAGGUUAGCUAUAAUCAGGAAAAGAAAUCAUGCCAGUAAUUGCAUUACUGGUUUACUACGGCAAAAUAAUGUUCAUCGCCAAGAGAAAAUUUGUUAUUCUUAUACGUAUUACCUUUGAUUUUAAUUUUAUUAUCUAAGAUGUUUUUUUGGUUAGCUACGGACAGGGAUCUAGAUUGUGCAACUUGUGAAAGAACGAUGAUUGAUAAUUAUGCGGUUUAUAUUAGACUUUCCCUAAUUUUCACUAUGUAAUUCUCUUUUUUUUUUUUUUUUUUUUUAAGCUUUCUCUUAUCCUCAAAAUACGAAAUUUCAAUGGGUAGGGAGCUCGAGAAAUGAACCUACGUUUUAUUAUUUUAUUCAGGAAGAGUCAAAUUUUAAAAUUUCUUCCAUAUUUCGUCAAACUAAAUAAAGAUGUAUUUUAGAUGUA